rnacentral:tRNA from 1 species
GGAGAGAUGGCCGAGUGGUUGAUGGCCCCGGUCUUGAAAACCGGUAUAGUUCGAAACAAAGAACUAUCGAG